rnacentral:lncRNA from 1 species
CAAAGCUUGACAGAGUGUAGCUGCUGAUCUACUUGGGAGAAGUUCGAGCCCUAACCAGGUGAUCCCAUGAGUGAGGGGAGGGAGCUGAAGAUUAAAUCCUGGAGUCUGCCCCAUUAGAAGAGCAGCAGCCUGGUUUCUGGUGACUACAGCAGCAGAUACCAGCUACCAUGCUGUGAGCAGCACUCUGGAGAAGCCCAUGUAAUGAAGAACAUGGUGGUGACAGCAUUCUACUUGUGGUGGAGUCCCAAGUCACACCUCUGCCUGGAAACCUGAACCAUCUGCUCAACUCUUUGCUCCCUGUUAGACUGUAAAUAGACAUCAGUUAUCUAUUGCUGCAGAACAAACCACCCCCCAAAUAAGAGUGAUACCCUCAUGUUU